UGAGUACGAGAUGCUACGGCAUCGAAGCAGUCUAUGUCAUACUUCCAAGAAAAGCUUGCACUGUCAUAAACAAAGAAUGCCUGUACCAUAACCGACACAGGUGGGUAGGUAGAGUAUACUAAGGGGCGCGAGAUAACUCUCUCUAAGGAACUCGGCAAAAUGACUCCGUAACUUCGGGAGAAGGAGUGCCUUAUUUCUAAGGUUGCAAUAACAAGAUCCAAGCAACUGUUUACCAAAAACACAGGUCUCCGCUAAGUCGUAAGACGAUGUAUGGGGGCUGACGCCUGCCCAGUGCCAGGAGGUUAAAGAAGUUGGUUAGCAUUAGCGAAGCUGAUAACUGAAGCCCUGGUGAACGGCGGCCGUAACUGUAACGGUCCUAAGGUAGCGAAAUUCCUUGUCGGGUAAGUUCCGACCCGCACGAAAGGCGUAAUGAUUUGGAUACUGUCUCGGAGAGGGGCUCGGUGAAAUAGACUUGUCUGUGAAGAUGCGGACUACCUGCACCUGGACAGAAAGACCCUAUGAAGCUUUACUGUAACUUGAGAUUGAAAUUGGACUUUAUUUGCGCAGUAUAGGUGGGAGGCGUUGAGAAUAAUCUUGCGGGAUUGUUGGAGCCAUCUGUGAGAUACCACUCUUGUAAUGUUAGAUUUCUAACUUUGUAUCAUUAUCUGGUCAAAGAACAGUUUCAGGCGGGCAGUUUGACUGGGGCGGUCGCCUCCCAAAGGGUAACGGAGGCGCACAAAGGUUUCCUCUGAACGGGUAGAAAUCGUAUCUAGAGUGUAAAGGCAUAAGGAAGCUUGACUGUGAGACCUACAAGUCGAGCAGGGACGAAAGUCGGUCUUAGUGAUCUGACGGUGCUGAGUGGAAAGGCCGUCACUCAACGGAUAAAAGUUACUCUAAGGAUAACAGGCUGAUCUCCCCCAAGAGUUCACAUCGACGGGGAGGUUUGGCACCUCGAUGUCGGCUCAUCGCAUCCUGGGGCGGUAGUCCGUCCCAAGGGUUGGGCUGUUCGCCCAUGAAAGCGGUACGCGAGCUGGGUUCAGAACGUCGUGAGACAGUUCGGUCCAUAUCCGGUGUAGGCGUUAGAAUAUUGAGAGGAGCCUUCUCUAGUACGAGAGGACCGAGAAGGACAUACCUCUGGUGUACCAGUUAUCGUGCCAACGGUAAACGCUGGGUAGCUAUGUAUGGAGUGGAUAACCGCUGAAAGCAUCUAAGUGGGAAGCCCACCUCAAGAUAAGUAUUCUCA
rnacentral:rRNA from 1 species